rnacentral:tRNA from 4 species
GGAGGGGUAGCCUAAUUGGUAAGGCAGUAGUCUUGAAAACUACCGCGGGAAACCGCUUGCAGGUUCGAGUCCUGUCCCCUCCGCCA